UUAGUUUUAUGGGGUUUUUUUGCAGAUCUCUGCUAGUUUUGCAUAGUUGCACUACAAGAAAAAUUGAGUUGUGCAAAACUAUGCAAAACUGAUGGUGGCCUGCUUUAUCUCCACC
rnacentral:miRNA from 1 species